UGCAUAUGAUCUUACUAUCUUUAGUAAAUAGUGCAUGAAAGUAUAUGUGAUUUGAUUAGAAAGAAGUAAAACCUCAGAAUUCUAUGAAGCUGAAUAUGAUAUAUUAUUAUACGUAAAAUGUGAAGUAUACUUAUAACAUAUGUCUGCUCACCAUAUAUAAUUCUAAAGUUGCCUUGAAAUUGCAUAAUCCUAUUUCCUCUCUGAAAUUUCCUCUCAAAAUCCUCUGGAAAAAAAUCCAUUCCCAUUCUGCACCAAGACCUAGGUAUAUAUACAUCUACCUCGAAGCUUCUAUUCCUUUCUUCAAGAAAGAUAUGAAAAUAUUAUUUGUAGAACGAAUCUGGACGGAUGGAAGGAGAGGAUCGAUUUGAAAUCAAUCCAUAACCCCUAUUUUCUCGAAAUUCAUUCUCAAGAAAGCACAUAGGAGAGGAAAAUCUAUCAGAGUUAGAAUCUUGAUAACGUGGUGGGAUGAGGGGCGUGUGCGAGUGAACUCGGUUGAGUUUAGCGAGUUUGGUGGAUUGAAGCGCGGUAAAUCGGGUGAGGAAAGGGCGGCGCUAUUUUGGGAUUCUUAGAGAUUAGGG
rnacentral:lncRNA from 1 species